rnacentral:lncRNA from 10 species
AGUGAUAACAAGAACAAUAUGAUGGAGAAUGAGCUGUUCCCUGACCAGUGAGAAAAAUGUGACUUUCAGAUUCCACAGAAACUGAAACACAGUACAACACCUGAUGCAAUUGAGCCUAAAAAAAAAAAAAAAUGUGUGCCAGCUCAGGGGAGCAAGGAGUCUGUUCAAUCCAAGGGGAGAUUUGAAUGUGCAAACUAAGCAUGCUCUUUCUACAACUGUCUUCUGGUGAACCUGAACUAGAAUGCUGAAAGACUGGAAUGGGAAAGAGCCCUCGAGAUUUUCAGGUCCCUCAUGUUUACUUUACAUACCAGGAAACAGCAACCCGGAGAAAGCAGAAUUGUCCAAGUUUCCACAGCACAAUGGUGACCUUGGGGGCAAAAAAGACACAAGGUACGCUGACUGCUCUCUGGCCAAUGAGAAGAAGGAAACUAAAGCAUGGAGUCUGGGGUUCAAGAGAAUAAUUCCUCAGGCCAGAUGCCAGGGCUGUGAAGAUGUGGAUGGUUACUAAACCUCUCUGGGCCUCAGCUCCCUCUUCCCACGUACUGCACAUUUUAAACACAAUGAAAUACUAUUAACUCAGGAUGAGUUCAUUUAGAAUGUGGGUUUUUUUUCCUUUAAAGCUCAGUUUGCUAGCUUCUAAAAAUUAACCUAAAUAAAUAGAAG